rnacentral:lncRNA from 1 species
UGUGAUAUUAAAACGUCCCUUCAUUUCAAAAAUUAUGUGUUAAAGUAUUGAAUAUAUAACACUAGUCUUAUCUUUAACAGGUAGGUAAUAUACGUAAUUAUGCCAUUAAGCCAGGGUUGCCUAACUUUAUUAUAACAAGAAACUCACUUAAAAUAUUCCAACUUCAUUUCAUUCCAUAUAUUGAACCCUCAGCCAGAUUCCAGAAAUAUGCCUGCCUGCUUCAAUAACUUUGGACCAGUUGUCCAUAUACUAAUGCUCCUUUAAUUUGCUUGUGCGCACUAGAAUUAAUAUAGCAAAAACAAUUUCCACAUUUUGUAAUUAUGUUAAGCAUUACAACAUUAUGUGAUGUAAAUUGAUUACAUAUCAUAGUCAGGUUCCUAUCGGAAGGACCAUCAUCAGAGCUUUUGGGCAAAGCUAGGAGUAACAUUGUGAGGUCAAUUGAUCGCACUGAUUUUUUUUUAUAUAUAUAAUGUAAUAGAUUUUUUUGUGCCUGUAAUUUAGUAAUUUGAUCCUAUUAAAUUUAUAUAUAUAUGAGGUAAUAUAUUUUUUAUGAGUGUAAUUUAGUAAUUUAAUCAUACUUACCUUUUUUCCUGACUUUGCCACUGGUUUCAGGUACAAUGUAGUUAAAAAUUUAAAUGUAGAGCUUACUUGUAUCCAAGCAACAAGAGUUGAGUUUGAACGAUAAACAAGGACUCGGAAUGAAAUGGAUUGGGCAAACUUGCACAAACUAAUUAUCAUCUUCUUCUCCCCUUCAAAAUUUUCAUUACUCAUCAAGCCUUAUGAGGUCAGAAGAUUAAUGGAGCCUAUAAAUGCAAUGCAGCAUAAGCAAAUCUAUUGCCAGUCAAUAUGUAUAUAGUUUUUUUCUUAUAAAUAAAUUGUGAUCAUCAGUACUGAACUUUACGAUUUAACAAAUUGAGAAAGAACACAAUUAAAUAAUACGUUUUGUAAUAGAAAAAUUGAUACAUUUUAUAUAAGUGGCUGUAGUUUAGCG